GUUGGCUGGUAAUAGUAAAUAGGGAUGUGAGCCUCGUACAUGGCCUUAGUCACAGCAUUCCCAUGCUUGGCCAGAAACUGCACCUGAGCAUCAUCCCAGUGGUCCAUCUUCAGGGAUUUGACUUUGCUGAUGCUAGGGAUGUUCCGGUGAAUCCCUGAGCAGCUAAGGCAUAUAAAGACACCCAAGGUAGAGGAUGCCCAGUCAGGAUCAGGCUUCCCGCAGUCUGCACACAAUGAG
rnacentral:lncRNA from 1 species